rnacentral:rRNA from 1 species
GAUGAACGCUGGCGGCGUGCCUAAUACAUGCAAGUCGAGCGAACGGACGAGAAGCUUGCUUCUCUGAUGUUAGCGGCGGACGGGUGAGUAACACGUGGAUAACCUAUCUAUAAGACUGGGAUAACUUCGGGAAACCGGAUCUAACACCGGACAAUAUUUUGAACCGCAUGGUUCAAAAGUGAAAGACGGUCUUGCUGUCACUUAUAGAUGGAUCCGAGCUGCAUUAGCUAGUUGGUAAGGUAACGGCUUACCAAGGCAACGAUGCAUAGCCGACCUGAGAGGGUGAUCGGCCACACUGGAACUGAGACACGGUCCAGACUCCUACGGGAGGCAGCAGUAGGGAAUCUUCCGCAAUGGGCGAAAGCCUGACGGAGCAACGCCGCGUGAGUGAUGAAGGUCUUCGGAUCGUAAAACUCUGUUAUUAGGGAAGAACAUAUGUGUAAGUAACUGUGCACAUCUUGACGGUACCUAAUCAGAAAGCCACGGCUAACUACGUG